AUUGAACGCUGGCGGCAGGCUUAACACAUGCAAGUCGAACGGCAGCGGGGGAUAGCUUGCUAUCCUGCCGGCGAGUGGCGGACGGGUGAGUAAUGCAUGGGGAGCUGCCCAGUCGAGGGGGAUAACAACUGGAAACGGUUGCUAAUACCGCAUACGCCCUUUGGGGGAAAGGUGGGGAACUUCGGUCCUACCGCGAUUGGAUGCGCCCAUGUGGGAUUAGCUAGUUGGUGAGGUAACGGCUCACCAAGGCGACGAUGUCUAGCUGGUCUGAGAGGAUGACCAGCCACACUGGAACUGAGACACGGUCCAGACUCCUACGGGAGGCAGCAGUGGGGAAUAUUGCACAAUGGGGGAAACCCUGAUGCAGCCAUGCCGCGUGUGUGAAGAAGGCCUUCGGGUUGUAAAGCACUUUCAGUCAGGAGGAAGGGGUGAUGGCUAAUAUCCAUCAUCAUUGACGUUACUGACAGAAGAAGCACCGGCUAACUCCGUGCCAGCCGCCGCGGUAA
rnacentral:rRNA from 1 species